UAAUACCAAAUACCGAUAGGGCAACACCUCUUUCCAUUCCGAACAGAGAAGUUAAGACUAUUUUACUGAUGGUACUGCAUGGGAAGCUGUGCGGGAGUGUAGGUUUUAC
rnacentral:rRNA from 1 species